CAGAACAUUAAAAGAGCAGAGAAGAGGAGAAAGGGGCCAGCAUGUAUCCUGGUUCGGAUUCUCAGUGCCAUGAAUCCUACAUCUAGUCUCCACCACAAACCAUUGUAGAAUUUUUACUAUAAUCUUCAGAUUACAUACACCAAUACUAUUGAAUUACUCCCUAAUUCAACUAGUACCUACCCCAAGCUUUCUAUACCAAAGCUUAGCAACCCCAAAGUGCUAACCCAACUUGGAAGGGGAAUUUACACAGAUUCAAUUCUCACCAAGUGCUAACCCAACUUGGCAAGGGGAACUAAACCUAGUUCAUACACUCAAAUUACAUAAGAAAACUGUGGCUAUUUUGCAUCACUCUUGCCUUUUCUCUCUUGGCUUUUGAACCUCACAUAAUUGCCUUUUCUCAAAACAGAAAACAACGCAAGACAGCCAUAACACAAAGAUCAGAAUUAAGCUUGAGUAGAAGAAAGAUAUUUCAGCUCUGUUUUAGAGAUGGUGCUCUGAGUAUGUACUCUCUCUUUCUUAACUUGAAAUGGUGGAGUGAAGCUUGUUAAAUAUCUUCCACUUGACUUCAUUGUAGCUUCAUCCUCUUGCUUGUUCUUGCUGUCCGUUUGAGCUGACACAACUAGCAAGCUGUCCUUUUUCCAUUCUGCUCCACUAACGCUGCUUGUUGGAGGAGCUGCUCCACCCACCUCUGUUGUCCUUGGAGCUACUAUCUUCUUUGGCAUGCAAAGCACUUCCAUUUUUGAGCCAUUUCAACUGCUGUCCAUAGCUCUGCAUUUUUGUUUUGCUCUUCCA
rnacentral:lncRNA from 1 species